GACGAGCGCUGGCGGCGGGCUUAACACAUGCCAGUCGAACGGAAAGGCCCUGCUUUUGUGGGGUGCUCGAGUGGCGAACGGGUGAGUAACACGUGAGUAACCUGCCCUUGACUUUGGGAUAACUUCAGGAAACUGGGGCUAAUACCGGAUAGGAGCUCCUGCUGCAUGGUGGGGGUUGGAAAGUUUCGGCGGUUGGGGAUGGACUCGCGGCUUAUCAGCUUGUUGGUGGGGUAGUGGCUUACCAAGGCUUUGACGGGUAGCCGGCCUGAGAGGGUGACCGGCCACAUUGGGACUGAGAUACGGCCCAGACUCCUACGGGAGGCAGCAGUGGGGAAUAUUGCACAAUGGGCGGAAGCCUGAUGCAGCAACGCCGCGUGCGGGAUGACGGCCUUCGGGUUGUAAACCGCUUUCGCCUGUGACGAAGCGUGAGUGACGGUAAUGGGUAAAGAAGCACCGGCUAACUACGUG
rnacentral:rRNA from 1 species